UACGUAGGGGGCAAGCGUUGUCCGGAAUUAUUGGGCGUAAAGCGCACGUAGGCGGCUUAGUAAGUUGGAUGUGAAAUCCCUCGGCUUAACCAAGGAAGUGCAUCCAAAACUACUGAGCUUGAGUACUAAAGAGGAUCGCGGAAUUCCCGGUGUAGAGGUGAAAUUCGUAGAUAUCGGGAGGAACACCAGUGGCGAAGGCGGCGAUCUGGGUAGAUACUGACGCUGAGGUGCGAAAGCGUGGGGAGCAAACAGG
rnacentral:rRNA from 1 species